CGAUGCGCGUGAUUCAAGCCCCAGCCCAGCAACCAUUUCAGCAGAACGCUCCACCGCUUCUCCGAAAAGGCAAAAACCCCACAGCUCGAGCGCCGCGCCGGAAGCCUGCGCCCCCGAAACCACGAGCGUAAACCCUCCUAGUCCGGCGGUGAUGGCCGGCGUCGGUGGCAGCGGCGGUGGAGGUGGGGACGACGCGGAGAUGGGCGGUUGGACGGGGCUUCUCCACUCCUCCACGAAGCUCCUCGAGCAGGCGGCGCCAACCCCGCACUUCCCUCCCCUUCAGAGGAAUCUGGACCAGCUCGAGGCGCUCUCCACCAAGCUCAAGGCCAAGACCAUCCGCUCUGAGGCUCCGUCACAGUCGCUCUCCGCCACCAGAUUGUUAGCACGCGAGGGGAUCAAUGCUGAGCAGCUCGCCAGGGACCUCAAGUCAUUCGAACUCAAGACUACCUUUGAGGAUGUUUUUCCAUCUGAAGCAACUACUGUUGAGGAGUACUUGCAGCAGCUUCAUGAAAUGGCCAUUGUUUCAUCCAUCCAAGAAGCUCAGAAGGACAAUUUGAAGAGUUUUAACAACUAUAUGAUGCAAGUUCUUGAGGAUGACUGGCAGAAAGAGAAGAGAGACUUCUUGCAGAGUCUAAGCCGGCUUUCUACAUUACCCAAGAGAAACACUAAUCUCUCGACCAGUGGGUUGGGUCGCCCUGCUUCAAUGCCACCAUCAACUUCCAGUCUUCAUGCUCCAUCAGGCCUGCCUUCUGCUGAAGUCAUGCCUAUACCGAACAAGACUAUUAUUGAAAAAAAAUCUUCAGUUUAUGCUGGGGUUGUGAGGGACCUCAAUGAUUCUAGAGGGCGCAGUCUACCUUUUAAUCCUGCUACGGCUUUUAGGGCUGCUUAUGAAUCCUUGUCUAUUGAUGCCAUUGGCACAAAGUCAGUGAGUAUGCAGAAAGUGUGGCAUCUAAUUCAGGCAUUGGUUGGGGAAGGGUUGACUCAUCGAAAUGUUUCAAGAAAAAUGUCACUAGUGGUAGGUGCAAGGCACCAUCUUGAGUGGGGUCAUGAAAAGUACAUACUUGAGACCAUCAACAGCCAUCCAGCUCUUGCUGCCCUUGGUGGAUCUGUUGGCAAUCUUCAGAAGAUCCGAGCAUUUCUUCGGGUAAGGCUGCGGGAUCAAGGUGUGCUAGACUUUGACGCAACCGAUCUACGCAGACAGCCUCCAGUGGAUACAACCUGGCAGCAGAUUUACUUCUGCUUGAGAACCGGAUACUAUGAUGAAGCAAGACAAGUUGCCCAAUCAUCUCGUACUGCAUAUAACUUCGCUCCCCUGCUUGCAGAUUGGAUUUCUACUAAUGGUGCUGUAUCACCAGAGACUGCUCUGGCAGCUUCUGAGGAAUGUGAUAAAAUGCUCAGAAUGGGUGAUCGGCCAGGGCGUCCUGGCUACGACAGGAAGAAGUUACUGCUUUAUGCCAUAAUUUGUGGUUGUCGGCGGCAAAUUGAAAGAAUGCUAAAAGACCUACCAACACUUUUUAACACUAUAGAGGAUUUCUUGUGGUUUAAGCUGUCAGCUCUGCGGGAAUACACCAAUGCAUCUUCUUCUAAUCUUAUGAAUGAAGGCUUGGUGCCUUAUACGCUGGAUGACCUGCAAAGUUACUUGAAUAAAUUUGAGCCAUCAUAUUAUACAAAGAAUGGAAAAGAUCCCCUAGUCUAUCCCUACAUUCUGUUCUUAAGCAUCCAAUUACUCCCAGCAAUUCUUUAUUUGUCUAAAGAAGUUGGAGAGGAUGGAUACCAUGUUGAUGCUGUGCAUAUUUCAAUUGCUUUAGCUGACCAUAGUGUUCUCCCUGACGGUAUUGGGUCAGGCCAGAAAAUUGGCGUCAUGGAUGCCUGUGCAGAGGCUGCAAGCAUAAUACGACAGUAUGGCUCUAUAUACUUGCGUAAUGGUAACAUUGAUCUAGCCUUGGAGUAUUAUGCACAAGCUGCUGCUGCCAUGGGUGGAGGUGAGGCAUCGUGGAUUGGUGAAGGGCAUGCUGAUAAGCAGCGACAACGAAGUUUGAUGUUGAAGCAACUACUGAUGGAGAUAUUGCUAAGGGAUGGUGGUAUUCAACUUUUGCUUGGUCCAAGUGGAAUGGGAGAAGAAGGAGAGCUGAAAAAGUAUAUGAUGGAUUGGAGAAGUAGGCAGCAAUUCUUACUUGAAGCUGCCCAUCGGUGUCAAGAGGCUGGGCUCUAUGACAAAGCUGUGGAAAUUCACAAAAGAGUAGGAGCCUUUGCCAUGGCUCUUCAGACAAUAAACAAGUGCUUGUCUGAUGCAGUCUGUGCCAUGGCACGGAGUAUGUUAGAUGGCGAGAGUCGUGCUGCUGCCCUAAUUCAUUCUGGCAAUGAAAUUUUGGAGACAGCUAGAUACUCUUCUGAAGCCAGCAUUCAAGAGAAGGACCUCAUUUCUGAGCAACAAACUGUGCUGAGACAGCUUGAAGCUAUUCUCCAUAUUUAUAGGCUAGCUCGAGCUGGGCAAACUGUAGAUGCUUUGAGGGAAACCAUCAGGCUACCCUUCCUUCAUUUGGACCCCAAGGCUCCAAAUGUGACUGUUGACAUUUUCAGGAACUUGUCACCCCAUGUUCAAGCUUGCGUGCCAGAUCUCCUGAAGGUUGCUCUAAAUUGCAUUGACAAUGUUAGAGAUACUGAUGGGACCUUGCGCGCUGUCAAAUCAAAGAUCGCAAACCUUGUAGCAAGCAACAUGAGCCGGAAUUGGCCACAGGAUUUGUAUCAGAAGGUGGCACAGUGCAUAUGAAGUGGCUUGUGUUUUGAGUUGAUCAGGAAUCUGGACUAAUCUGUAUCAGAACUCUGAAGCUUUCAAACAAUAUGGUUGUCAUCCCAUCCUGUGUUUAAUGUGUGUCAAAUAAUCCUUAGGCCUUAUUCGGUUGCCGAUCAAUCAAGGGGGGUUGAAGGGGCUUGAGGCGGAAUCUCUAGCAAGUCAAAAUCUUUCCUAAUCCCCUCUAACCUCAUAGAAUGGGGAAUAACCGAAUGAAGCCUUAAGAUCUUAAGGGGCAUAUUGGUCCAGUGCACAUGCGUCGACAAGGACCUUUGCCAGCUGUUGGCAACUUGGCAUCUCCGCCUGAUUGCAGGAGUGCACGGAGCCAGAUAAACAUUUGUAGCCUGUAUGUAAGUUACUGUUGGAAAUGUCUUUGAAGACUUGUAUUGUACGAGAGCAUCACUGUUUGUUACGGAACAUCAGCAUUACUUGAGGAAUCGCGAACUCCGUAUGUUUAUUCGAA